UGGGGAAUAUUGGACAAUGGGCGCAAGCCUGAUCCAGCCAUGCCGCGUGAGUGAUGAAGGCCCUAGGGUUGUAAAGCUCUUUCACCGGUGAUGAUAAUGACGGUAACCGGAGAAGAAUCCCCGGCUAACUUCGUGCCAGCAGCCGCGGUAAUACGAAGGGGGCUAGCGUUGUUCGGAUUUACUGGGCGUAAAGCGCACGUAGGCGGACUAUUAAGUCAGGGGUGAAAUCCCGGGGCUCAACCCCGGAACUGCCUUUGAUACUGGUAGUCUUGAGUUGGAGAGGAGUGAGUGGAAUUCCGAGUGUAGAGGUGAAAUUCGUAGAUAUUCGGAGGAACACCGGUGGCGAAGGCGGCUCACUGGCUCGAUACUGACGCUGAGGUGAGAAAGCGUGGGGAGCAAACAGG
rnacentral:rRNA from 1 species